rnacentral:rRNA from 1 species
CUGGCUCAGAGUGAACGCUGGCGGUAGGCCUAACACAUGCAAGUCGAACGGCAGCACAGAGGAGCUUGCUCCUUGGGUGGCGAGUGGCGGACGGGUGAGGAAUACAUCGGAAUCUACUUUUUCGUGGGGGAUAACGUAGGGAAACUUACGCUAAUACCGCAUACGACCUACGGGUGAAAGCAGGGGACCUUCGGGCCUUGCGCGAUUGAAUGAGCCGAUGUCGGAUUAGCUAGUUGGCGGGGUAAAGGCCCACCAAGGCGACGAUCCGUAGCUGGUCUGAGAGGAUGAUCAGCCACACUGGAACUGAGACACGGUCCAGACUCCUACGGGAGGCAGCAGUGGGGAAUAUUGGACAAUGGGCGCAAGCCUGAUCCAGCCAUACCGCGUGGGUGAAGAAGGCCUUCGGGUUGUAAAGCCCUUUUGUUGGGAAAGAAAUCCAGCCGGCUAAUACCUGGUUGGGA